UACGUAGGGGCGAGCGUUGUCCGGAUUUACUGGGUGUAAAGGGCGUGUAGGCGGGUUUGCAAGUCGGGUGUGAAAGAUCCAGGCUUAACUUGGAGAGGUCAUCCGAAACUGCAGAUCUUGAGUGCUGGAGAGGAUAGUGGAAUUCCUGGUGUAGCGGUGAAAUGCAUAGAUACCACGAGGAACUCCGAUUGCGCAGGCAGCUUACUAAACUACUACUGACGCUCAUGCACGAAGGCGUGGGGAUCAAACAGGAUUAGA
rnacentral:rRNA from 1 species